CCUACGGGUGGCAGCAGUGGGGAAUAUUGGACAAUGGGGGGAACCCUGAUCCAGCGACGCCGCGUGAGUGAAGAAGUAUUUCGGUAUGUAAAGCUCUAUCAGCAGGGAAGUAAGAAAUGACGGUACCUGACUAAGAAGCCCCGGCUAACUACGUGCCAGCAGCCGCGGUAAUACGUAGGGGGCAAGCGUUAUCCGGAUUUACUGGGUGUAAAGGGAGCGUAGAUGGCGAUGCAAGUCUGAAGUGAAAGGCGGGGGCCCAACCCCCGGAGUGCAUUGGAAACUGGAUGGCUGGAGUACAGGAGAGGUAAGUGGAAUUCGUGGUGUAGCGGUGAAAUGCGUAGAUAUUAGGAGGAACACCAGUGGCGAAGGCGGCUUACUGGACUGUAACUGACGUUGAGGCUCGAAAGCGUGGGGAGCAAACAGGAUUAGAUACCCGGGUAGUC
rnacentral:rRNA from 1 species